GAAACACCCAAAGUCCAUCACUCAUGCACCGAGGAUCUGGCUGAUUACUGGAAAUUUGGAAGAUUGUUCUUUAUCUGCACUGUCACUUCUGUUAUUAAGGAGCAGUGGGCUGCAGUGAUGCGACCAGGAAGCAACUGGGGGUUCAGUGCCUUGCUCAAGGACACUUCGACUUGCAACUAAU